rnacentral:rRNA from 1 species
UACGUAGGGUGCGAGCGUUGUUCGGAUUUACUGGGCGUAAAGGGCGCGUAGGCGGUCGUGACAAGUCACUUGUGAAAUCUCCGGGCUUAACUCGGAACGGUCAAGUGAUACUGUCGGACUAGAGUACAGAAGGGGCAACUGGAAUUCUCGGUGUAGCGGUGAAAUGCGUAGAUAUCGAGAGGAACACCGAUGGCGAAGGCAGCCCCCUGGCUAACACUGACGCUCAGGC